rnacentral:rRNA from 1 species
AGGACGAACGCUGGCGGCGUGCUUAACACAUGCAAGUCGAGCGGAAAGGCCCUUCGGGGUACUCGAGCGGCGAACGGGUGAGUAACACGUGAGUAAUCUGCCCCUAGCUCUGGGAUAGCUCCGGGAAACCGGGAUUAAUACUGGAUACGACCACCUUAGACAUCUUUUGUGGUGGAAAGAAUUUCGGCUAGGGAUGAGCUCGCGGCCUAUCAGCUUGUUGGUGGGUAACGCCUACCAAGGCGACGACGGGUAGCCGGCCUGAGAGGGCGACCGGCCACACUGGGACUGAGACACGGCCCAGACUCCUACGGGAGGCAGCAGUGGGGAAUAUUACGCAAUGGGCGAAAGCCUGACGCAGCGACGCCGCGUGGGGGAUGAAGGCCUUCGGGUCGUAAACCGCUUUCAGCAGGGACGAAAUUGACGGUACCUGCAGAGAAGGCCCGGCCAACUACGCGCCAGCAGCCGC